rnacentral:misc_RNA from 1 species
AACCAUUCUCACCUGCGGCUAGACCUGCGGAAGGAUCAUUACAAGUGACCCCGGUCUAACCACCGGGAUGUUCAUAACCCUUUGUUGUCCGACUCUGUUGCCUCCGGGGCGACCCUGCCUUCGGGCGGGGGCUCCGGGUGGACACUUCAAACUCUUGCGUAACUUUGCAGUCUGAGUAAACUUAAUUAAUAAAUUAAAACUUUUAGCAACGGAUCU